UAUCAGGAAGGCAAAAUGUGCUGCUCUCAAGAAGGUGUACAAUAGCUCUGAAGCACUUAUAGCCUCAUAGACUGAUUGGUGACUUCCCAUCCUUUAUAUUCUCAGAGCAUAGCUGACAGUCUAGGAGGUUUGAAGAAAAUGUAGUUCUCAAAGUCUGGAAGGUUCCAUGAGAGUCUGCAGAGGUUCAGAAUAUUCUAGGAGGUUGAUACUGCAGAACACCAGAAGUCAAUUUUUUCCAGCAUGAAAACUGUUAGCAUCAGUGAACAAAAUGGAAAAUGUUUUGGAGCAAACAUUAAAGAAUUGAUAUGUAAGCUCCUAGAAGGGUAACAGCCUUCUGGAUAGUGUAAAGCUGGAAAUAAAGUGUUACUAAAAAUCAGCUUGCGUGCCAUAGGUUGCCAACCCCGGCCUAGACAAUUCUUCUAUAAAGUGGGUGCACAAAUGGUUGGAAAACCGUACUCAGAAUCAGUAUCAAUGAUUCACAGACAAGCUGAAAGGGCAUAUCAAGUGGGCUCCCACAAGAAUCUCUCAGGGAUUCAGUUCUA